rnacentral:rRNA from 1 species
CCUACGGGUGGCAGCAGUGAGGAAUAUUGGUCAAUGGGCGGGAGCCUGAACCAGCCAAGCCGCGUGAAGGAAGAAGGCGCCAGGCGUCGUAAACUUCUUUUGUCAGGGAACAAAGGGCGCCACGCGUGGCGUUUUGAGUGUACCCGAAGAAAAAGCAUCGGCUAACUCCGUGCCAGCAGCCGCGGUAAUACGGAGGAUGCGAGCGUUAUCCGGAUUUAUUGGGUUUAAAGGGUGCGUAGGCGGACCGGAAAGUCAGCGGUAAAAGCCCGGGGCUCAACCCCGGCGAGCCGUUGAAACUGUCGGGCUAGAGACGGCGAGAAGUAGGCGGAAGGCGCGGUGUAGCGGGGAAAUGCAUAGAGAUCGCGCAGAACUCCGAUUGCGAAGGCAGCGUACCGGCGCCGGACUGACGCUGAGGCACGAAAGCGUGGGUAUCGAACAGGAUUAGAUACCCGAGUAGUC